GCUCCGUAGGUGAACCUGCGGAAGGAUCAUUAUUGUAUAACCGAGGUGCGAGGGCUGUCGCUGACCCGAAAGGUCGUGCACGCCCGAGUGCCCUCACACACAUCCACCUCACCCCUAUGUGCACCACCGCGUGGGUCCCCCUUUGGCUUGUUCGGAGGGGGGCUUACGUUUUCACACAAACUUUGUAUGCAGUGUAGAAUGUAUUUUUUGUUUUUGCGAUCACGCAAUCAAUACAACUUUCAACAACGGAUCUCUUGGCUCUC
rnacentral:misc_RNA from 1 species